UAACACGUAAACAACCUGCCUUCAGGAUGGGGACAACAGACGGAAACGACUGCUAAUACCGAAUAAGUUCCAAGGGCCGCAUGGCCCAUGGAAGAAAAGGUGGCCUCUACCUGUAAGCUAUCGCCUGAAGAGGGGUUCGCGUCUGAUUAGCUGGUUGGAGGGGUAACGGCCCACCAAGGCGACGAUCAGUAGCCGGUCUGAGAGGAUGAACGGCCACACUGGAACUGAGACACGGUCCAG
rnacentral:rRNA from 1 species